UACAGAGGUCUCAAGCGUUGUCCGGAUUUAUUGGGCGUAAAGAGCGUGUAGGCGGCCAGGUAGGUGGGUUGUGAAAACUGGAGGCUCAACCUUCAGAGGUCGACCCAAACCCCCUGGCUAGAGUCCGGAAGAGGAGAGUGGAAUUCCUGGUGUAGCGGUGAAAUGCGCAGAUAUCAGGAAGAACACCCGUGGCUAAGGCGGCUCUCUAGUACGGUACUGACGCUGAGACGCGAAAGCGUGGGGAGCGAACAGG
rnacentral:rRNA from 1 species